GUCGUAGUAGUUACUACAAAGGCUGCGUGUUGAGCGUACAGCAGAUCAUAGCUGUGCCCGCAUGGAGCUUACUUUGAUAUUAUGAGUGAUAAACAGAUACAAGCGGGAUGUAAAGUCAGAACGUGAGCAGUGUUUAAAGGAGGAAUGAUGAUGAUGAUGAUGAUGAUAAGAAAGAGGAGGAAGAGAAGAAGGAGGAGUAGAGAAACCCACUUCUCUUGGGUAGAAAACCAGGUGACCUGUGCAAGAGACCUCCCUUUACUGUGCCCAAGGAUGAGCUGGCCACCCAUCGGUGCUCAGGACCACACCCACAGAGAUGGAGUCUUGCUCUGUCACCAGGCUGGAGUGCAGUGGUGUGAUCUUGGCUCACUGUAACCUCUGCCUCCCAAGUUCAAGUGAUUCUUCUGACUCAGCCUCCCAAGUAGCUGGGAUACAGGUACCCAUCACCACACCUGGCUAAUUUUUUGUAUUGUUAGUAGAGACAGGGUUUUACUAUGUUGGCCAGACUGGUCUUGAACUCCUGACCUCAGGUGAUCCACCCGCCUUGGCCUACCAAAGUGCUGGGAUUACAGGUGUGAGCCACUGCACCUGGCUGGCCCCUACUUUUGCACUGUUUUGUGCUGAUUUAUCCCUUGCUUUGCGACUUGGUUACUUCCCUUCUGAGAGCUUCAGUGUCCUCAUCAGUUAAGUGGCCAGAAUAAUUGUUUAUUUAUUUAUUUAUUUAUUUUUAAUUGCAUUUUAGGUUUUGGGGUACAUGUGCAGAACAUGCAAGACAGUUGCAUAGGUACACACAUGGCAGUGUGUAUCGCUGCCUUCCUCCCCUUCACCCACAUUUGGCAUUUCUCCCCAGGCUAUCCCUCCCAGAAUAAUUGAUAGUCCUACUUCAGCUGGCUACUUGAAGACCAGUGCAUGGGCAGCAUUUAGCCAACUGUUUGGCACCCAAUAAAUGCUCAGUACAUUUCUGCUCUUGUCAUUACCCCUUCAUCUUGACAUCUCUUGUCUCUGGUUAUUCUCACAACAACCCAGCAAAUCUCCAUUUUAUAGAUCAGGAAACUUGAGACAGUGAAAAGAAAUUACUCACCUAAGAUCAGUUACUAAGAGUCAGGGAAAGGGUUACAUCCAGCCCUCCUGACUCCCGUUCCAGUAGUCUUUCCACUGAGUGCUGGGGUCACCCAAAACAAGGGUUUUUGGGCCUCUCUGGAGACCAUGGCCUGGGUGAGAGGCUGGUGGGCACAUGCAUGCUAAGAGCCAGGGCAAGUCCUGCUCUUUGCAAGGGCAGAAGCCCUGCCCAGCAUCUGGACACCCACCCGGUACUUACAGGAGCU